rnacentral:rRNA from 1 species
UACGUAGGUGGCAAGCGUUGUCCGGAUUUACUGGGCGUAAAGAGCGCGCAGGCGGUCGUUCAAGUCGCGUGUGAAAGCCCCCGGCUCAACUGGGGAGGGUCACGCGAUACUGAUCGACUGGAAGGCAGGAGAGGGUAGUGGAAUUCCCGGUGUAGUGGUGAAAUGCGUAGAUAUCGGGAGGAACACCAGUGGCGAAGGCGACUACCUGGCCUGUUCUUGACGCUGAGGCGCGAAAGCUAGGGGAGCAAACGGGAUUAAGAAACCCCCGGUG